rnacentral:rRNA from 1 species
CCCAGACUCCUACGGGAGGCAGCAGUGGGGGAUAUUGCACAAUGGGGGGAACCCUGAUGCAGCGACGCCGCGUGGGUGAAGGAGCGUUUCGGCGCGUAAAGCCCUAUCGGCAGGGAAGAAGGAGGACGGUACCUGACUAAGAAGCCCCGGCUAACUACGUGCCAGCAGCCGCGGUAAUACGUAGGGGGCAAGCGUUAUCCGGAUUUACUGGGUGUAAAGGGGGCGCAGACGGCAGCGCAAGCCAGGAGUGAAAGCCCGGGGCCCAACCCCGGGACUGCUCUUGGAACUGGGCGGCUGGAGUGCAGGAGGGGCAGGCGGAAUUCCUGGUGUAGCGGUGAAAUGCGUAGAUAUCAGGAGGAACACCGGUGGCGAAGGCGGCCUGCUGGACUGCGACUGACGUUGAGGCCCGAAAGCGUGGGGAGCAAACAGGAUUAGAUACCCUAGUAA